GCUCAGGUGGUGAAAUUGGCAGACACGCUGUCUUCAGGCGGCAGUGCCCUAGGGCAUAGGGGUUCGAAUCCCCUCCUGAGCACCA
rnacentral:tRNA from 1 species